UUAAAAAGAGAGGAAAAGGGUUCUCUUGUUCAUUCUAAAAUCUCUUCUGUUUGCCAGAGACUUCAGAAAAUUCAGUUUGUCUUCAAUGUCUGUAGGAUGUCACCAAUGAAGGACAAGCACAGACAGCUUUACUGUUGGGCUUUCUUCACCAUCUUGGAUAUUUUCCUGUGCAGAUGCAAUUAUCCCUCACUGGCAAUUUUUGUGGACUUAGUAAUACAGAGACUGGGAGUCAGAGCAUGAAUUGCUAACAGCACAUAUUUAAUUGGCGGCUUGGCCUGGAUUUUAAUGUGUCUAGAUCUUGGUAUCACCUUGCUAAGGGCUCAGCAUCUCUCACAUUUCCAUCUCCUGCUGUGUGCUCCUGGCACAGUGAGAACAGAUAUUUUUCUUCUGCCCCUGCACUGAUGGACUGGCAAGGACAUGCAUCCCUUAUUCCAAGACUCCAUCCUGAACUCUCCUGCAGGAUUACAGCAGAUCCUGACCCUGUUGACC